AGGACGAACGCUGGCGGCGUGCUUAACACAUGCAAGUGGAGCGACGAACCAGGGCUUGCCCUGGGGCAGAGCCGCGAACGGGUGAGUAACACGUGGGUUACCUGCCUUGAUGACCGGGACAACCCGAGGAAACUCGGGCUAAUACCGGAUGUGCCCGCAAGGGGAAAGGAAGCUUCGGCCUCCUCAUCAAGAUGGGCCCGCGGCCCAUUAGCUUGUUGGUGAGGUAACGGCUCACCAAGGCUUCGAUGGGUAGCUGGUCUGAGAGGACGAUCAGCCACACUGGGACUGAGACACGGCCCAGACUCCUACGGGAGGCAGCAGUGGGGAAUCUUGCGCAAUGCGCGAAAGCGUGACGCAGCAACGCCGCGUGGGGGAAGAAGGCUUUCGGGUUGUAAACCCCUUUCAGUUGGGACGAAGCUUCUCCGGUGAAUAGCCGGACGGAGUGACGGUACCUUCACAAGAAGCACCGGCUAACUACGUGCCAGCAGCCGCGGU
rnacentral:rRNA from 1 species